CUCUACUCUUUGUAUUUGUCAUUGCCUUCUCCAGCUGACACAAAUUUCCAUGUAGCACUGCAUCAGACAGGCAGGCAAAGAGCUAGCAUCACUAGCAGCCGAGCACAGUAACAGUACCCAGAGACUAACACCCAUUAUAUUUAGGGAUGGGUAUCGAAACCUGGUUCUUGUUGAGAACCGGUUCCCACUGUUUCAAUUCCUUGGAAUUGUUUGCCAUUUUUGCAAACGAUUCCCUUAUCGAUUCCAGUCGCCUCGAAUGACGUCACCACGUUGCGGAGCGUCAUUUACCUGGCAGGGCGCCUAAGCGGCUCAGACGCUCAAAAGUUUGGUUAUACUUUACGAGAACGGAUGACAACAGGGCAACUUGCAAUACUUGCAAAGUAGAUAUUUCAUUUAUGGGAGGAAACACUACGAAUAUGCAAAAGCAUUUGCUCACAGAACACGCGAUAACCUUAAAUGAAUGUCGUGUUCUUAUUUCCGCUCCGGACUCGUGAAUCUCAACCCAGCAGCAGCGGUAACGUUUGCACGUCCUCUCCCGUUAAUGCGGCAGGUGACCAUGAUGAGACAGACAGAGUCUGGCUGGCUCACAUGCUGGCAGUUCUCGCUGCAGUCUACCGGUAGCGUCUCCUUUCAGGCCAGGAUAGACGAAUGUCACCGAGCAGUGACUAAGUUUGUGGUCAAAGGCUUGCACCCAUUUGCCCCGAUUUUCGGAGUCGCCCCAGCUAGUCAUCUGCCUCCACCUCACUCUACCCCUUGCAUCCUGUUCUGUCAAACCAGCCCUCUGCAUGCCCUCCUUCUGAAUGUCAUAGAUGUAGUGAUGUUGUAAUGUCCGACUUUUGCGAUUUUGCUGCUGCUACCAUGUAGAUUAUUUAAAGUCUCUGGUAACCAUGUUUGGACAUGGCUGUGACGUGCUAAGUUGUUAAAAUGAACAAAAUUGUUUGACAACAUCCACAGACUCUGUGAGUCCAAGGUACAGACUUCUUACAUGGACAUUUAGGCAGUUAAC
ensembl:lncRNA